rfam:Schistosoma mansoni strain Puerto Rico chromosome 1, complete genome
AUCCAGCGGACGAAUCCCAAAUAGGACGGAACGCGCGUCCUGGAU